rnacentral:rRNA from 1 species
UCGAGAAUCAUUCACAAUGGGGGAAACCCUGAUGAUGCGACGCCGUGUGAGCGAUGAAGGCCUUCGGGUCGUAAAGCUCUUUCGUGAGGGAACAAGAGAAUCCGGUGAAUAACCGGGUUCUUUGAGAGUACUUUAUAAAGAAGCACCGGCUAACUCCGUGCCAGCAGCUGCGGUAAUACGGAGGGUGCAAGCAUUAAUCGGAAUUAUUGGGCGUAAAGGGCGCGUAGGCGGAUAGGAUAGUCAGAUGUGAAAUUUCGGAGCUCAACUUCGAAGCUGCAUUUGAAACUACUUAUCUGGAGGGUAGGCGGAGAAAACGGAAUUCCACAUGUAGCGGUGAAAUGCGUAGAGAUGUGGAAGAACACCUGUGGCGAAAGCGGUUUUCUAGCUUAUUCCUGACGCUGAGGCGCGAAAGCAAGGGGAGCAAACAGG